CCUCUAACUUGUCAGCUUUCUGUUUCUUGACAUAGGCUGGAUAUCUUCAAGUGUUAAGGUAACUCAGACUCGACUUCUUACCAUACUAUAUCACAUAUGGUGUGGUAAGAAUAGAUUUAGAAGGAAUCCUAUUUAAAAUAUUUAUCAUGGUAAGUAAGGCACGUCUUUAAGAAAUAAGGAUAAAUCAGUGAAGCUCAUCAU
rnacentral:lncRNA from 1 species